rnacentral:rRNA from 1 species
CGUACAGGUGCUGCAUGGCUGUCGUCAGCUCGUGCUGUGAAGUGUUGGGUUAAGUCCCGCAACGAGCGCAACCCCUGCUGCCUGUUGCCACCACGAGAGGUGGGGACUCAGGCGGGACCGCCGGUGACAAACCGGAGGAAGGUGGGGACGACGGUCAAGUCAUCAUGGCCCUUAUGUCCUGGGCUACACACGUGCUACAAUGGCCGGUACAGAGCGCAGCGAGGCCGCGAGGCGGAGCGAAUCGCUUAAAGCCGGUCCCAGUACGGAUUGGAGUCUGCAACCCGACUCCAUGAAGUUGGAAUCGCUAGUAAUCGCGCAUCAGCAUGGCGCGGUGAAUACGUUCCCGGGCCUU